ACACAGCCAGACUGUGUGGGGGGGGGGGCUGGAAUGUGAAAAGCCAGGGGGAGAAGAAUGACGGGACAUUUUCUAUUUGUAAGCCUGCGAGUUUGGCUUGCCACUUGAAUUUCAAGUGGGCCCUUCAGGCAGAUAGGGAAGUCAGGUGAGAGAGCGGAGGCAGUCGAUUUGAAUUGUCGAAAUUCCUCGAAAAUAAAUUCUAGGGAUUUCAACUGUAGGAGGAAGGUAGCUCAGGUUGACUAAACUUCAGGCACAUUUGCAGCAGGGGUGGGGCCUGGCGGUGGGGGAGGCGUUUGCUUUUUAUCUGUUUGCAUACCAUGUUUUCCCCUCAAAUUAUUUUGCCUUUCGAAUCAUAUCUAACAGACAAAUUAAAGCUUUGAACUAAGGUUUUUAUUUAUCUAUUUUUGUUCUAACUGAGCUGCGGAUCUCUUCUGGAGGAAAAAAAAACCCCACUCCUUUUAAGUACUGUUUUUGGUUACUGCUCUUUGUUUGAAGUAAUUACUGCCCUGGCAAGUGGGAAAUAACAGAUCGCUGGUUAUCAGAAGGAAGUAAGCACUUUGGAUGGGCCAGACGCCUGCCCUGGAUGGCUGCUCCAGACCCUGCCAACCGCCCAGGGCACAGCACAGCCUUCAGCCCUGGACUGCAAUGACGGGAAUCAACCCAAGGAAGCCAUCAAUAAAGCUGGGGCAGCUUCAGUCCCCACCCCAGAUACAGGGCUGUAGCGGUGACCAGGAAGAAAACUGCCCCCGCUGGAGGUUGUUUUUGUGACUGUUCUUUGGAGCAUUGUUCUAAAAAUGGGAAAUUACAUCUUGCCAUGCCAAAGGCAACAACACCUGCGGUUAAAGGGACACCUUCCCUGAGGUAGCUUUUCAGAGCGUGCACAAUCGUAGCUAUGGCCACCUCUGAACGGAGGCUGUGGCAGAAGAUCAACGCGUGCUUUCUUUUCUCGCAAGCGGUGGGGUGUGGGCUUAUCUUUGCCACUAGGGUGGGCUUCGGCAGCUAUUGGUACAGGUGACUAUCUAUUAUCCACCCAAUAAACAUUUGUCAAGCAUCA